rnacentral:rRNA from 1 species
CACGAGUACUUGUACUUGGUGGCGAGUGGCGAACGGGUGAGUAAUAUAUUGGAACGUACCGAGUAAUGGGGGAUAACUAUCCGAAAGGAUAGCUAAUACCGCAUACGCUUUGAGAAGGAAAGCAGGGGAUCUUCGGACCUUGCGUUAUUCGAGCGGCCAAUAACUGAUUAGCUAGUUGGUGGGGUAAGGGCCUACCAAGGCGACGAUCAGUAGUGGGUCUGAGAGGAUGAUCCGCCACACUGGGACUGAGACACGGCCCAGACUCCUACGGGAGGCAGCAGUGGGGAAUUUUGGACAAUGGGCGAAAGCCUGAUCCAGCCAUGCCGCGUGUCUGAAGAAGGCCUUCGGGUUGUAAAGGACUUUUGUUAGGGAAGAAAAGGUUGAUGCUAAUAUCAUUAACUGAUGACGGUACCUAAAGAAUAAGCACCGGCUAACUACGUGCCAGCAGCCGCGGUAAUACGUAGGGUGCGAGCGUUAAUCGGAAUUACUGGGCGUAAAGCGAGCGCA